CUCUAAUACACUGCCCUCUCUGUCACCAAUUUAAUACACUGCCCCUCCAUCCCCUAAUUUAAUAGUCUGCCCUCCCCCUAAUUUAACACACUGCCCCCUCCCACCACUCUAAUACAAUGCUCCCUCUCCCAAUUUAAUACACUGCCCCAUUCCCUCCCCAAAUUAAUACACCAUCCUCCCCCUAAUUUAACACACUGCCCUACCUCCCACCACUCUAAUACUUUCAAGGGAGGCAGUCCGUAGACCGGACCCAUGUGCCUGAUGUAGUUGAUUAGGAGUCGUUAGCAUGGUAGUGGAUAUGUAGGGCCUGGUGCAGGGUAACCGCGCGCCCCCUGGGGUUGAGCAUCAGCGUUUGUGCGGCCACAUACCAAGACCCUGUAGCAGCUUAGUGGAUGUCAGAGCAGAAGUAUGCUGAGAUGUAUCCAGUACUAGAAACAAGACAAGGCUAGAAUAGGCACCAAACAAGACAAAACUAGUAGAACCCAGAACCAGAGAAUGAUAGAAAGCUAAACCCAGAACAUGUACACAAUACAUAAGAGAAACUGUCACGAUUGUCAUCGUGCCUUCCACUAAUAUUGUGUUCUUGGGCCUGGUUGGGUUUGAAUCUGAGUCUCCUGCUUCUCAGUCAAUAGCCUUACCUUGGGCUCCACACAUCCUUGGUUAUUUUCUGAUGGUUCCUGGUAUCCUGUUGUCUGUGUCUCCCUGCUUGGACCCUGCACACCUGUUCCUGAUAUGUGGCUGAUAUUUCCCUAUUUAAACCCUGCCUGGCUGGUGUCUAGCUUGUGUCAGAUCGUUUUGUUCCUGUUUGGUGUUUCUGCUGUUAAUCUGACUCCUGCUUCUUGAUCAUCUGCUCGUCCUUCGUUUAUGCCUGUCCUGACUAUUGAUUCCGUCCCUGACUAUGCCUUUUUGUAUAUUCCUUGCCUGUACCUCGUUCCUGGAAGCACUGGUUAUUAUCAGCCCCAGUGCACUGUUUCACCGCCUUGGGAAUUUCUGCCUUGAGUCCCCUUGGCUGGUGUAAAUUGGAAAGGGUGCUUUAAACUCUGCAUGUUGACUCCCACUCAAGGUAAGAACAUUACAGAAACAUUGGGAAUACAAAAUAAAACAAGACAAGAUAUAAUAGGCAAAACAAGAGGAGACAAAGCUAAGUACUGUAUAUGUAAAACAUUGGAGAUUUAGACAUACGUAAAUGGCCAAGAUGUAUGCAGCCCACCAACUGCGGCAAAGUACUCCAAUUAAGGUGGGACCUAUCUGCCUAGAUAUUCAUGACUACUUAAACAAUAAUAAAACACACACAACACUUACCUGUAUAAAGGGUAGAGGACUUGUAGCAACUGCCUGCAGGAACCAACUGAAACAAAGAGGAUAAAUGGAAAAGGAACAGGUGUGGCAACAUUAAACAAACAUUAAAGGAAUCCAAGAGACUGGGAAUGCCAGGAACGGAAUACAGGAAUGAACCUAGAAAACCAGAAAGAAACCAAACAAGAAUUGUAAAAAGAGUACUGGAUACCAAAAGCCAAGCCCAGACCUCUGAACAGACCUCCCCCAAUUUAAUACACUGCUCCUCCCUCCCCAAAUACACUGCCCCCUCACCCAAUUUAACACACUGCCCCCUCCCACCACUGGGCAGCAGCAUUGUAACCUAGCUGUGUGAUACCAAAGUGAAUACAAAUACAAAGAAACAAGUCCUGCGCUCAAACUCCCAUUACUCCCGGGCGGCAGCAACGACCAUAGUACACAUCAGCCAAAAUACAUAUAGUAAAAACCAAAGAAAAAAAAGUUACCUGCUCUCUUUCUACAUCCCUAUGUAUUUUUAAACAAAUGGAGGUUUUUAGUUACCUCCAAUGGCCAUGAGAGGGUAUGCCCACCUGCCACGUCAAGGCACAACACAGCUAGGUUAAAUGCUGCUGCCCAUCCCAUGUGUUCCCUAUUAAGGGUUAAUAAGCAUGUAGGGAUGUAUAUAAAAAUUACCCCUUUCUGUCUCAUUAGAGAUAUAUUUGCCAGAAGCUCAAGAAAGCAAGGUGAAUAGUUAGAUUUACUACCCACCUAAGAACCCUGACGGAUCCACCCCUGGUCCCAUUCCCAUCCUCCUACAUAUUCUUACAUAUCCAAAACCAGUCACACUGUCGACAAUCAUGUACCGCUGCCUGCGUUCGGG
rnacentral:lncRNA from 1 species